AUCCAACCGACGGAGAAUCCACCAGACGCUUUGCGAUCCCCCAAGACAGCAUUGUCCUCUGGGACCACAAGGCAGCGGAGAAAAGAGAGAAGCAUGUGAGACGUGGAAACAAAAUGUUCUUGGCUGAGGGUGCACAGCCGUGGCCGGAGCUUCUCGAGGAGAUGAGAUGCAGCCAAAAUCCUUAGAUCAGAGCACGCUGAUAAAUCUUGCCCUUUACGAGCACUCUCCCACCUUCCCUGAACGUCACAGACAGGGAUUAGGGGUGGCCUUGUGGGUUCUUCUGCAAGCGGUCCUGCGGGCCUACGGGCAAAGCCAAGGGGCAAAGCUUGGCCCGGCAGCAGCAGCGGCAGCAGCCAGCAGAGGCCCCGCGAAGCCUCUUGUUCCCUGCCGCUCGGCUGCGUCCCCGGCGAUUCUCCCCUUCCCCGUCAGAGGGCGCUCCUCGGCCAUAUGUCGGCGGGCGGUGGCUCCGGGCUGUCCCGGCUCUGCUCCGCAGCUCCCCGCAAUGAAGGCUCUGAGGGGUGUCAGCCGCCGCCCUCUGCCUCUGCCGCGGCUCUCUGCCGCGAAGUUCCCUUCCACGGCUUCAUACGGCCGUGUAAUACUGUUAAUUUGCCGCGACCUCUGUGCUUAAUUUUUGGUUAGGAACCUAAAAGAGUGCUUCAGCAUCGCUAUCCGGGCAAUGUCACGCCUCUCCCUUCGCCCUGUUUUAAAACACGGGAUGAAAAAAAAAUGACUAAAAUUCCAGAACACGUCAGUGAAUGCCAGAUGCUCAACUGCAUGGUGUUGUGAAGCUAAAAUUCAGAUGGCAGUACGGAAGUGCUGAAGAAGUAAGAGGUUUUCCGCAUAGUAAAAUCUCAAGCAGACUGAAUUUUCUCUUCCUGUUCUGCUUACCUACCUCUCUUCUGAAAUGGCCAGCGUGGAUUCAUCAAAAGGAAGUCAUGCUUGGUCAAUCUGAUAACCUUCCACUAUGGUGUGACCAGCUGAGUAGGUGAGAGGAAAGAAGUGGAUGUUGUCUGUCUCACCUUCAAGAAUUUUGACACUGUUUCCCAUACCAUCCUCAUAGAGGGAACAAACAUUGCUUCAGCGGCAGGAAAGAGGGAGUGGAAGUGAACUGAAAAUGUCUGCUUUCUAAAGGAAGGAAAAAAGUCAAGAGGUUUUCUUCCAAAGAUGACUGCUCUUCAGGUACAUUGGGUGGGAUCCAAUGAAAUACUGUAUGUGAAGUGCACUCAAAAUAAAUUCAGGAAGGUGCUGAUGGGUCCCAGCAUGCAAGGAGAUCAAAGUAUGGGUGAUGAUGGUGGCAAAAAUGGAACUGAAGAGUCCAGCCAUCAGCACUGAGAAGUUUGAGAGAGGACAUCCGUGAUGCUGCUGAAGGUGGUUGCAUAGACUGAGACAGAGGCAGAGGAAGAAGAUGAAGAGCGUACAUGGAGAGGAAGUGCACUGGAAGAGAAGGCCAUGCAAGCUUGUGUGAGCAGAGUCAUUAAGAGCUCUUGUGGAGUAAAACUUCUGCCUGAAGUAGUCAUAAAGCCAAGGCUACUAUAGCAUUUUAUUUUAUCCCAUUUCCACUGUGUUUUGACUUGGCCUGAAAAACUGUCUUUUCCCAUACCACCGCUGCUGUUCUUCCAGUGUGUGAAAUGGUUUAUUUGAAGUUCUUCCCUUAGGGUUCCCACAUGAGGAGCCUUGUUGAGUAGAAAAUUUUAUAGCAACGUAUCACUUGCAUCCUUACUUUGGUUUGUUUUGUUAAUCUUAUUUUUUUAUUUUAGCUCCCUCUCUGUGUACUCCUCCAAUUCUCCUACUGCUUUCUGCUUCCAGCCUGUACUCUGAAUAUCCCAUAACGUGCUCAAUAAAAAUUGAAUAGUUUCCACUUAGAAUUCUAAAAAUGGUUUGGCAUUUCCAGAAAGUGACAGCGCCAAUAUUAUCGUCAGUCUCUUAUGCAAAUUGACACCCUGUUGCUACUUAACAAAGUAUCUCAUAUUCUUCCAAAACCAGGCUUCACAAUCUUGCACUCAGAUACUCUAAGACUUCUGGCCUUCCUACUGGAGGUGCUCAGGCCGUUGGAAUUAAUUGUUUGCUGCUGGCCAGAACAGAUACUAAUGAUAAAUUGCUAUGAGCUCUUGUCCUCUGAGGAGCUGUUCAUAUAAAACUUUUCCUGCUUCACUGUGCAUGCAUCUGGCUCAGCCCAUCAGAAUGUGGCAUGCCAUGCCAUUCUGUUACCAAAAAUGUUCAGUUCCAAUCUUGAAAGCCAAUUCAUGUUUGGUGGGUGACAUAAGGUCUAAGGGGUGAAACUUGGGCUGGCUACAUGGCAUGAUAGGCUCUCUUUUGCACAAGAAAAGACUAUCAUGCUUAAUUUUUUUUGUUUCAAUCUUAACUAAACUCAAGAGGGCUAGGGGGAAAAAAUCUGACUUUAUAAUAGAAGAAAUACAGCCAUCUCUGAAAAAUAUGGGCUCUGGUUGUAGGAAUAAUCUAGCUUCUCAUGCUAAACAAAGACAUUGAUUUUCCUUUCCUUCUAGGUAUCACACUUAACAUGACUUUUCCAAGCCUGGACGUAGCAUUGUUCCUAUAUAAACAAUUCUGUCUUUAGCAGCAAGGUUGCUUUUCUUUAUGUGAAUAGCACCCAUGCACUUUCAGUCAGAAUACCCUAACCAAGAAAGGACUUGAUUACAUUUUAAAGCGUGUUUUCCUCAUAAACUCUCCACUGUCUGCUCCAGACUGAAGACAAAAUGACUGCCUGUCUGAAGACAACAGAUGUCUCAGAGAUGUAAACGUUCAUCACCCUUGAAUCAAAGUGCCAGCAUAGCUGAAUAUACUGUCUUAUAAAGAUAAUAUCAACUGUCUUUGUGUUUGUUUGCUUUUUGUGUAGGGGUUUGAAAAUGCUUGUGAUAUUUAAACACCUCUUUAGAGUCAUUACAAGAUAUUGUGCAAAUAUAGUAAUUUUCCCCUAGUAAGCAGGCAUGAAAGGCACAUUAGCUUAUCAGAAUUAAACAGUUCCAGAGGAGGCCUUGAUGUCUGUCAGGUGAAUCAUCUAAUCUCCACAUUUAAUGUAUUGAACUGGGUAAGUAAGCCAUUUUUUGGGAGAUGUCUAAAUAUAUAUUUCCCUGAGAGGCUUUUUUCAGUCUCUUAAGGUAAAUAAAUAAUGUUUGAAUAAA